rnacentral:rRNA from 1 species
GGAAGGAUCAUUAUCAGUUCAUGGCUGUACAUGCUGCAUGUGCAAUCCAAGAUAAACCACUCUGCGUAUUUUUCCUGUUGCUUCCAUGGGGCAUGGUGCUUGCGCCGCUCUGCCGGCACGGUCCUCGAGGCCACCGCCGUCCGGGAGUCCUCAUGGAAGGUCACCCAGCAAACCCUUUGCCUGCUCAUGAUUUCUGUCUGAAUGUGAUUUAUCGAAAUGUUAAAACUUUCAACAACGGAUCUCUUGGUUCUUGCAUCGAUGAAGAACGCAGCGAAAUGCGAUAAGUAGUGUGAAUUGCAGAUCUCAGUGAAUCAUCGAAUCUUUGAACGCACAUUGCGCCCCUCGGCAUUCCGGGGGGCAUGCCUGUUCGAGCGUCAUCAAAACCACCUCAAGGCAUUUUUAUGUUCUUGGUCCUGAAGGUUGAUUGGUUCGAUUUGCCACUCACCUUCGAAAUGAAUUGGCGGGUUGCAAUCUUCAACGAGUGUAAUAACAUUUACCAUUCAUGAGUCGAUCGUUGCACAUCUUGCCAUUGACCCCCACACAUUUCCAGGUUGACCUCGGAUCAGGUAGGGAUACCCGCUGAACUUAAGCAUAUCAAUAAGCGGAGGAAAAGAAACCAACAGGGAUUGCCUCAGUAACUGCGAGUGAAGCGGCAAAAGCUCAAAUUUGAAAUCCGGCGUCUCUGGCGUCUGAGUUGUAAUUUGGAGGGGCAUCUUCGAGGUUGGCGUCGUCCUAAGUUCCUUGGAACAGGACGUCACAGAGGGUGAGAAUCCCGUGCCUGGACGGAUGUCCGGCCUCAUGUGAAGUGUCUCCGACGAGUCGAGUUGUUUGGGAAUGCAGCUCAAAAUGGGUGGUAAAUUUCAUCUAAAGCUAAAUAUUGGCGAGAGACCGAUAGCGCACAAGUAGAGUGAUCGAAAGAUGAAAAGCACUUUGAAAAGAGAGUUAAAAAGUACGUGAAAUUGUUGAAAGGGAAGCGCUUGAGACCAGACUCGACUGGUGGUGAUCAGCCGUACUUCUGUAUGGUGCACUGGCUAUCAGUCGGGCCAGCAUCAGUUCUGGUGGUGGGAUAAAAGGGGCGGAAACGUGGCCGUAUUCGUACGGUGUUACAGUCCGCCUCACAAUGCCGCCGGCUGGGACUGAGGACCGCGCCUCUGGCUAGGAUGCUGGCGUAAUGGUUUUAAGCGACCCGUCUUGAAACACGGACCAAGGAGUCUAACAUCUAUGCGAGUGUUCGGGUGGAAAACCCUUGCGCGUAAUGAAAGUGAACGGAGGUGGGAACCCCUCGGGGUGCACCAUCGACCGAUCC